AUUGAACGCUGGCGGCAGGCCUAACACAUGCAAGUCGAACGAGUGGCGGACGGGUGAGUAAUGGCUGGGAAACUGACUGAUGGAGGGGGAUAACUACUGGAAACGGUAGCUAAUACCGCAUACCAUCAAAUGUUCCCAGAUGGGAUUCGCUCGUUGGUGGGGUAACGGCUCACCUAGUCGACGAUCCCUAGCUGGUCUGAGAGGAUGACCAGCCACACGGGAACUGAGACCCGGCCCAGACGCCUACGGGAGGCAGCAGUGGUGAAUAUUGCACAAUGGGCGCAAGCCUGAUGCAGCCAUGCCGCGUGUAUGAAGAAGGCCUUCGGGUUGUAAAGUACUUUCAGCGGUGAGGCGUUACUCGCAGAAGAAGCACCGGCUAACUCCGUGCCAGCAGCCGCGGUAAUUC
rnacentral:rRNA from 1 species